CACGUAGGGGGCAAGCGUUGUCCGGAUUUAUUGGGCGUAAAGAGCUCGUAGGUGGUUCGGUAAGUCAGGUGUGAAACCUCCAGGCUCAACCUGGAGACGCCACUUGAUACUGCUGUGACUGGAGUCCGGUAGGGGAGCGUGGAAUUCCUGGUGUAGCGGUGAAAUGCGCAGAUAUCAGGAGGAACACCGGUGGCGAAGGCGGGUCUCUGGGCAACAACUGACGCUGAGGAGCGAAAGCGUGGGGAGCGAACAGG
rnacentral:rRNA from 1 species